rnacentral:rRNA from 1 species
UACAGAGGUCUCGAGCGUUAGGCGGAAUCACUGGGCUUAAAGCGUGUGUAGGUGGAUCGUUAAGUACCUUGUGAAAUCCCACGGCUUAACCGUGGAACGGCUGGGUAUACUGGCGGUCUUGAGCAGCCUAGGGGCGACCGGAACAAACGGUGGAGCGGUGAAAUGCGUAGAUAUCGUUUGGAACGCCGAUGGUGAAAACAGGUCGCUGGGGGCUUGCUGACGCUGAGACACGAAAGCCAGGGAGCAAACGGG